rnacentral:lncRNA from 1 species
GGUCUCACUAUGGGGCUGAUUGGGGGUCAUUAAUUCCAUCCCCCCCCACUCCCCAGAGACCCUUUAAUUAUAGGUCUGUAAUUAGGGCCCUCAUCCCCAAAGGGUCUUUAAUUACGAGGGGUUAAUUAGGGGUCCCAGAGCCAUUAAGUGUGUGUGUGGGGCUGGACAAUUAAGGGGGGGGGUCCCAGUUAUGGGGCUGAUUUGGGGUCAUUAAUUCCCCCCCCCCCAAUAUCUGCAGGUGCCCAUUAACCUCCUUGGGGAACUGGUGUGAGCCCACCCCAAUUAACAGAGCUUAAUUAAACGACUUCGUUAAUGCUGUCUCUAUGGGUCCCUGUGUGUUCGUAUGGGUCUCUCUAUGGGGUCUCUAUGGGAUCUUUAUGGGUCUCUCCAUGGGGUCUCUCUAUGGGGUCUCUAUGGGUCUUUAUGGGGUCUCUCUAUGGGAUCUCUGUGGGGUCUCUAUGGGAUCUCUAUGGGAUCUCCAUGGGGUCUCUCCAUGGGUCUCUCUAUGGGGUCUCUAUGGGGUCUCUAGGUCACUCUAUGGGUCUCUAUGGCAUUUCUCUACUCUAUGGGAAAUUGGAGAAAAUGGGGGAAAUAAUGGGGAAAUUUGAGGAAAUAUGGAGGAAAUGGGGGAAGUAAGAAAGAAAUAUGGGGGAAGUAAGGGGGAAAUGGGGGAAAUAAUGGGGAAAUUGGUGGAAAUAAGGGGAAAUAAUGGGGAAAUAGGUGGAAAUUGGGGGGAAAUGGGGUGAAAAUGAGGAAAUGAAGGGGAAAAUUGGGGGAAUGAGGGGGAAAAAGGGGAAAAUAGGGGAAAUUGAGGGAGGUAAGGAGGAAAAUGGGGGAAAUAAUGGGGAAAUUUGGGGAAAUAAUGGGGAAAUAAAGGGGAAAUAGGGGGAAUAAGGGGGAAAUUU